rnacentral:misc_RNA from 1 species
UAUGCACAAUAGACAUUCCAUUACAUUCGAGAGUGUGUGAAAGUACUCGAGCACCAGGCCGGUCAAGGCCAUGCAAAGCAGCACUCAGAGUCAUAGAUGCACAGGUGUGUGGAUUUGCGACUUGUAAACGUGCACAUGUGUCUCCACCAGCACAGUAAACAAGCCGACUUUGAAGUUUCACUAAUGAUCCUUCCGCAGGUUCACCUACGGAAACCUUGUUACGACUUUUACUUCCUCUAAAUGACCAAGA